rnacentral:rRNA from 1 species
CCAGACUCCUACGGGAGGCAGCAGUGGGGAAUAUUGCACAAUGGGGGAAACCCUGAUGCAGCAACGCCGCGUGAGUGAAGAAGUAUUUCGGUAUGUAAAGCUCUAUCAGCAGGGAAGAAGAAAGACGGUACCUGACUAAGAAGCCCCGGCUAACUACGUGCCAGCAGCCGCGGUAAUACGUAGGGGGCAAGCGUUAUCCGGAUUUACUGGGUGUAAAGGGGGCGCAGACGGCAGCGCAAGCCAGGAGUGAAAGCCCGGGGCCCAACCCCGGGACUGCUCUUGGAACUGCGCGGCUGGAGUGCAGGAGGGGCAGGCGGAAUUCCUGGUGUAGCGGUGAAAUGCGUAGAUAUCAGGAGGAACACCGGUGGCGAAGGCAGCGUGCCGUGCCGCCACUGACGCUGAGGCACGAAAGCGCGGGGAUCGAACAGGAUUAGAUACCCCCGUA